rnacentral:misc_RNA from 1 species
GUACCCUUUAGCAACCUCCUUCAUGCCUGCUAAUCCAGAUUUAGAAGACCCCCCUUUGCAGUGAAGUGAGAUCACCAUCAGCCCUCGAUUGCGUGAGCGAGAAAGAUCUUGAAUAUAUUUUNNUCAAAAGCCUCAAGUCUAACUUUCCCUUUGACUUCGAUAAAAUUAGGCCACUUGCAAGCAGGCAUCUUCUCACCACUUUUAAAGGAGGCUAUAGCAGACACAGUUAUAGAGGAAUUUAGCUGAAGGGAUCCAUCCCAGAGAUUCUCAGCAACUAUUGGAGCUAAUUUUCCGGCAUGUGAUUUGCUUUUGUCAUCUGGUGAUUCAGAAGAUCCAACACUUAUGCCAUUUCUUUCAUUUAUAUUUCCAUCCUUAGCAACAACAUUAGCAGAACUAUUGUCAUUCUUGCGAGAAAUCAUCUCUUCCAAUGAAUGCCUGGACUUCUCCAUAUCUGCUCCUGUUUUCUUCAUAAUUGGGACACCGCCAACUCCUUGACCUCGAUCAUUUACACUGGCAUUAUCUCUGAAUCUAGUAGCUAAAUAACCACUGCCAGAUUGUACAUCAUUCAUCAAUGGCCUAUUGUUUUCAUUUUGUUCAAUGCAAGUGUUAGUCACAGACAAAGUUGCCCCAACAGUCAUGCCAUCAUUAAUUUUUGUGGCAUUUGAACCGUUCUUCUCCCAGGGAAAUAAUUUCUCAUGUGAAUUUCCCCCAUGCCCAUUACGGCUAACAUUAUUUUGGUCCAAAACUAGCAAGCGUCCUAAAUUUUCAGAUGUUGAACUGAAAGAAACAGAAUCUACAGACUGAGGAAGAGAAUUUCCAUGAUCAUUUAUCACGUUUAGCUCCCCAGAAAAGUCAUGUUGAUCUGUGGUUAAUUUUCUCUUUCUUGUUGAAU